AUGUUUCUGACUCCACUGAUCACACUGCUGCUCGGACUUCAAGGAUCAGGAGCCAGUCCAUCUGUGAUUCAGUCUCCUGCAUCAAAGUCUGUUGGUUUGGGGGAAACUGUGUCUCUGAGCUGUUCAGCAAGUACAGGAGUUGAUGAUGAUCUCAGCUGGUAUCUGCAGAAAGCUGGACAGCCUCCCAAACUGUUGUUUUAUAAAAUUAGCACACGUGAAUCUGACACUCCGAGUCGCUUCAGCAGCAGCGGAUCAGAGCCUGAAUUCACUCUGACAAUCAGUGGAGUUCAGGCUGGUGAUGCAGGAGUUUACUACUGUUUGGGUGUUUACAGAGGCCCAGUGUUCACACAGUGA